rnacentral:lncRNA from 10 species
CAGCCUUGGCCCUUGCAUCACCACCAGCCAGGGGAAGGAGCCGUGGCAUGGCAGUGGUCACAGUUCUCUUGGAUAAGCUUUACCGUAAUCUUCAUAAACCUCAAUGCUCAAGGUGCAGAGGGAGAUUGGAGGAAACUUGUUUUUCCGUUGGUUUCUCUCUGACUGCUGCGGCUAAUCAUUCCUAGAACAGGAAGCUGGAGAAAUGUAGAAUUUCACUGUCUGGAGUGCAGCAGCACGAUCUCGGCUCACUGCAACCUCCGCCUCCCAGGUUCAAGCGAUUCUCCUGCUUCAGCCUCCCAAGUAGCUGGGAUUACAGGUGCCCACCACCACGCCCAGCCAGAACAACCACUCUUUAGGACCUGGACAUACCUGCCACUCUCUGUGCCCUUUCCACUUGGUAAAUGCCACCAUCUCCCUCUCAGACAUGCAAAGAUCCAGGCUAUUCUGUUAUUUGCCCUUCCUCACCCUCCGCAGCAAAGCUCUUGCUCUUAUUGCAUCGUUUUCUGCCUUUCCCAGGGGAAUUUCCAUCAUUAGGCUUUGCUAUAACAGGGGAAGAGUUCCAUGAAUGAACAAGAAGGUAAGGAAAUGAUUUAGAAGAUCAGAAUGCUUUCCUACUCUUUUAUUCAUCCAUUCAUUGUUUCAGUAUUGAGCGCCUGCUGGGUUGGGCGUUUAGAAGAUCUAAAUGUAACUAACAUACCUGCCCUGCUCUCAGGGAGCUCACAAAGUCAAAUCCUGAUUAUACAGUGUAACAUAAGUGAUGAUUGAGGGGACUUUCUUGGGCCUCAGAUUCCUCAUUUGUAACAGAAGAACCCCACUUACUUCCACAUAGUCUGGCUGUGAAGAACAAAUGAGAAAAAUGGAUGUUAACAUUCUUUAUAAAUGACAAAGCACAAUGUUAGCACCUGAUCGCGAUCUCAUAUUAGGUGUGCUCAAGGAUUUGAACCAUUGUGGAGAGGUCCUUUAAGUAAAUAAAUGUGGAAGUAGGGAAAUCUCCUUACAGCAAAAAGCUAACAAACGAACGUGGAAAGGAUGAUGGAAAUAGAAAACAACAAUUUGGCAAACUUCAAAAUAGUAAUCAAUUCAGGAUAAGAAUCAUCAAUGAUGAUAAAACUAGUAGCUUAAAGUAUGAGGAGUAACAGAAAUUUCACAUAAUAAAGUACCUCUUAAGAUACUUAUUAAUUACAAAGGGAAAGGUUGGAAAACGCCUUUACGGCAGCAUUUACUGUAACUGGCAGACACCAUCUUCACCAAAUAAAGUCAACAUCACUAAUAAUGAGGGAAAUUGACAUCAUGUGCAGCCUGAUAAUAAUGAAUGAAAAAGGACAUAACAUCACUUCUAUGAUAUUCCAGCUGAAAAUGUAUGACCUGAAUCUAACCAUGAGGAGAUACUGGAGAAUCUCAGAUUAAGAAACAUUCUGCAAAAAUCUCACCAGUACUUUUCUAAAAUGUCAUUGUCAUAAAAGACAGAAAACUGUUCCAGAUUUAAAAAGAUGAGACACUAAUAAAGUCAAUGUGUGAUCCAGUGUUUUCUUUUACCAUAUAGCAUAAAACUGGAACAAUUGGUGAAAUUCAACUGAGGUCUGUAGAUUAGGUAAUAGUUUUGUAUUAAUGUUAAUUUCCCAGUUUUGAUGAUUAACAAUAGUGCUUAUGUAACAAAAUGCAUUUUCAGAAAGUACACAUCGAAGUCUUUAGGGAUAAAGAACAUUAUGUCUAUACAUUUCAAAUAAUUCAGGAAAAAAUAUGGCAUUAUAUGAAAAUAUAUGGUAUCAUAUAAAAAUAUAUGGCAUAUAUAAUAGAUGGUACAUAUAUAUUAAAUUAAGUAAAGUUGGUAAAUUAUUAACACGAGGGAAACUCCUUGUACUAUUCUGCCAAUGUUUUAAAAAGUCUGAAAUUUUGUCAAAAUAAAAAGUUAAAAGCAGUAGCAAGAAAGAGGUACAAUGUGGAUAACUUUAAUCAGCCCAGAACCAACACAAAGCAUAGCGAAGAGGUUUGGCUGCACUUUCCAGAAACUCCAGAUGCCAAACAUGUUUCACCCAUUUUUUUAUCCCUGUCUUCCAGGCUUCUGAUAUUCAUGACAAGAUGGGAGAUGAUACUAAAUGGGCCCAUUUCUUCAGUGAUGGUUUCCCAUAACUAAGCAGUGUCGUUAGAACCACCUAUAUUAUUGCCGAGCCAGCUGGAGUCUUAAAAGUUUAUUUCCUAGAACACAUAGUCCACAUAAUCUCUUCCAUUACUGCUGGAAGGCAGCAGGGUACCUCUCCUGUAGUGCCUCAUGCCACCACAAAUAGAUCAUGCAGAAAUCAGGUGGCAAUGGGGUCUCUCCUGCUAUUUGCACCAUAUGAUGGCUGUUUGUUGUGCUGGACUCUUCAUUUGCCACUUGAGCCACGGUGUUCAGCUCCUAUCCGCCCUGGAAAAAAACACUGGCAAAGUCAGCUGGGCCAGGAUGCUUUGCAUUUUGAGGAAUCAUGAAAUGGCCAGUCCCAGCUAAUGGAUAAAAGGUAACUCACCAUCCCCACAGUGACCCAAGGACUAUACUGGACAAUAGAGACAAAAAUGCAUCCCCUCCUCCCAACUGGUGAAGACAAUCUAGAGACAGUGCAAGAGUGCUCCCUUCUGCCCAGAGCUCAAAUUGCCCUAACUUCACACAGUUUCACCUCAAGAGAGUUUGAGAUGAACCCUUCUGCUUCUGGAGCACACAUCUUAAAUGCUAUCCCAUAGUCGCCCCUUAAGCCUGCACUUAAGAUUUCACCUUUAUGAUCUCAUUUCAUCUCUUCAACAACCUCAAUAGCUAAGUAGAGCAGAUAUCAUCACACCCUCUAACAGGUGAUUUGAAACAGGUGCCUCAAUAGUAAAUUACUUACCCAACGUCAGGAAGACUCCCCACAGAAAGCCUCAUCUCCGUAUUUAAAAUUCAGUGGCUGCAAAGAAUGGCUUUAAAUUCUCCUGCACCCCGAAAAGUAUAGGCAAGAUUCUGCAAUUCUGGGUCAUCCUCAGUGAUGAAGGGGCUGGGGAGGAAUGGAAAACUGGCAGAGGGACUAUCUACAGUCAUUAUAAGUCAAUACAGGCUUUAUUAGCUUUCCUGUUGAGAUCUGACCUACCUAGCGCUAUCUUCUUGGUUUCUCAUGAAUCUACUGUUCUUCACUACCUGCCCUCAGUAGGAGCUGCCAGAAUGGAAAUGACUAUCAAAUCUGAAGAGAAAACAGACGAGACUUGUGCCACAGAGAGCAUCGAUCCAGGACUACGGGGUUCAAGGCUCUCAGCUCACUCAGACCAUGGGGGUAGGGAAGAGGAGGGGAGGACAGGUGCUUCUUCAGGUACAAGUGAAUUUCCUAUCCCUGGAGUUUACAAGCAGAAGCAAGCAUAGUAAUCCCACCUCUCAGUCUGCACACCUGAGAAACACACACAUUUGUUUGCACAAGGAGCCACAUACAAGAUUCUUUUUACAGUAGGAGAAAAAAAGAGAUGACAACAAUUUAUCAGUAGAGGAAUGGUGAAAUAAACCAUGAUAUAUCUCCAUUAAUCAAUACUAAUAAUCAGUUAAAAGAAAGAGGUAUAUUUGUACAUAAUUUCAAGAAAAAGUCCAAGUGAUAUAAUAAUGAGAGAUGAAAUUAUUUGAUUUAUGUUAAAACAUAUACAUACCAAGGUACCCAAACAUGUAUAUAAAGAUGUAGAUAAAGCUUUAGAAAGCUGUGCACCAAAAUGUUAACAUGGGUUUCCUCUGAGAAAACUUCAGGGGUUUGGAGAAAACCUCCUAAAGGAGACUUUGGCCUUACCUGUGAUAUUUUACGAUAUCACCUUAUAAGAAGGUAUUUACAUAUUAGAAAUGCAACUAAACAUUAAUUUUUUUCUUAAAAUUCAGGCCCUUUCUACUGGACACUUCAAAUUUCAGCUGGGGCAUGGAGACAGUUUCUGUUUUUCCCGGACCAGCCACUGUUAAAAGAAUGUCAAGAGAUUAUGGUUUUGUUGGGGGUGAAUUGCUGAGAGAAACAGAAAAACCUGAAAGAUCAAACUGGAAUCCUCCAGGAGCUGGACUCCACGGUAGAAGGAGAGCGGGUGCCUUCACUUCCACCCCCUGAAGUCUAGAGACCAUUUUGUAUCAAAUUGUACUUAGCAGUCAUGGAAGGAAGCUUGCACAAACUUAAUGUUCUUCAAUGGCUGUGCUCACUUAAAGUUAAUUUUAUUGUGGCAGUUGUUGUCUUGAAAGUUUAGAAUAAAGAGACUCCAGGAGGUCUUUUCAUAACAGAUAAUGAUGCUGGAAUGCAGAAAUGUUUUGCGGAAUAGCUUGGAGGGAUAAAUUAAUUAAUUAUUUGGGCUAAAAAUGAGCUGGAAAGAAAUGGAAAAAAUACUACACUUGGAACUAGAAGACCAAGGUUCAACACUCGGCUGCCAUACUCACUAGUUGUAUGACCUUGAGCAAUACAGCGAACCUCUCAGAGCCACAUUGUCAUCUGUAAAAUGGGUAUAAUGCUAACAUGCAACUGGUCACAAGGUUGUCAUACAGUACUAAUAAAAUAGUUAUCAUUAGUUUCAGUUGACUGAUGAGGAAACUGAGACUCAAAGGGUUAAAUGAAUUUCCCAAGGACACAUAGCUAGUGAGUGGCAGAGCCCAGUUUAAAACCCAGGUACAUGUGGCUGCAAUGUCUCAAUUCUUCCAUGCCACCAUUCUCUGCAAAUAUGUUGGGUUUAAUAUUGGUUAUUUGAACUCCAUUCAUACCUAGGUCCCAUCCUGCAGCACCUGGCAAAGAAAUUAGUAAAUAUUAGGUAUUCAUUAUGUAUUUGUUGAAUAAACCAACCCAUAAAUCAAUCAGUGAGUAAGCUAACAAUUUUUUGAUUCAUUUACAAAUACUAUUAAAUAGUUAUGUGCAUAACACAUGGGUGAUGAUUGUUUCAUGUUCAUAAUGUCAUAAAUAUAUUUCUCCAAAUUUGAUAUGUGUGUUUCAAAUGUUAAUGUUUGUAUAUAUGUUUGCAUCUGUAAUGUAUGAGUGUGUGUGUGUCCAAAAGUGAAGGAACAUGAGAAUAAGAUAAAAACAAAAGCAACUGUAUUCUGUGAACAGCCUCCUUGGUAUUAGAUAGAUGCCAGCACCUGUCUUUGGAAACUCUGGAAGCUCUCUGGGCAGUAUCUCCUUCCACACCUCAGCUGACAGCCUUUACUUUGAAUUGCAUAGAGAAUUGUCUUUGAGGAGCAAUUCUAGCUCCUUUCUCCAUCAGCAUUUGGUACAUAGAAAAGGUCAGACUUGCAAUUGGAUCUAUUUUCUGCAUUCCCAAGGUUCUGGCUCAAAGUGAAACAUCAGGGAGCUUUGUGAUCAAAUAACCAAUGUGAUGAGACAGCCUUUCAUUACACAAUAAAGGCCACCGGCGCCUGCUUCCACCUUGCCAUGUGGGACAAAGGUGGUCUAUGGAAUGCUGAACUUCCAAGUCUGGCUCAAAAAUGCAGUUCAGGCCUCCAAGACAACACCCAGCUGCCUUUUCCAUUUGCAGUAAUGUUUUCAAAACCUCGAUUCUCCUUUUCCUCUUGGCUAUAGAUUUCAGACUGGUCUGGAAUCUUUGUGACUUCAUAGGCUCAUAGAUAACUAGGAGUCACAACUCUCAUUCUUAUUCCACCUCUUAACAACUAAGUUAUUUGGGGAAGUUCCUUGAGCCCUCUGAGCCUCAAGUUUCUCCUCUGUGAAAUGGGAGUAACGAUACUUAGAGGUUCAAAUGAGUGGCACAUAUUGAAGUGUGGAAUGCUUAUCAACUGCAAGGUUUCAUUAAGCCAAAGUAGGAAAAUGCUAGCAUAUGUGAAAGAUAAAAAUAUAAAUUUUGACUAUGUAAAGGUUUCCCAGUUGAAUUUGAAUUUCAAAUAAACAAAUAAUUUUAUAGCAGAGAUAUGUCCCAUGCAAUACUUAGGAUAGACAUACACUAAAAAUAUAUUUGUCAUUUAUCUGAAAUUCGAAUUUAACCGGGUGUCCUACUUUUAUUUUUUUCAGAAUAUGGCAGUUCUACUCCCAGCCUUAGCCCCUCAGCCACAGUCACCUGGCUGAACUCAGAGCUUGGCAGGUAUAGAAUGUGGGCCAGGUUGGGGGGUGUUGGAUUUCUGGAGCUACAAGAGAUUUGCUCCAGGUACCUGAGGAAAAGGUGUCCAGAAAGGUGUGAUGAGGAGAAGCACAGGAGGGAGGGAGAGAAAGAACAGUACUUUGUUACCAGAGCCAGAAUCCCAUUGAGAGGCUGCCACUGCCACCUCAAGACUCCAUAAAGCUCCAGUAAUAAUUACCACCCUCACAGCAUCCAUCACAAUGAUCAAAUGAGAUAAGGCACAUCCAGUGCUAAGACCUGGCACUUAGCAAACUCUCCAAAACAGCCUUUAUUAUUAUUUUUUGAGGGACUGAGAAGUAGCAUGUAUUGGACAUAUUGAUAUCCCCAGCCCCAAAGUGAGUAUUGUAUAGAUAUCAUCUCAGGCAAACAUCAUAACAAUUUUCCAGGGUAGUUCCUGUUAUUGAUUGCAGUUUACUAAGGUACAGAGAAGUUGACACCUCCACAAGUCCUCUUGGCACUUGAUAGUAAGUGGUGGAGACCACAUUUGAAUCCAGGCCUGCUUGUGGUUAAAGUCUACCUUUCUGCACUGCACUAAGCUGCUUGGAAGAAUCCUUUCGGGGUCCUCAUGUUUUGGUAACCCAUUUGCUGCUGACACCACUAGAAGACUUGAAGCCAUUUCCGAAUGACUUCAAGCUGCUCCUUUCUGAAAUAGCGUACUGUUACCCAUUUUAGAGAAGGCACAUGGGGACAGGAAGUGACUGUCCCAGGUUGCCUCUUAAGAGAUUAAGUGCAAGAGGCUCCAAGCUGAAAUGGAGGCAUCAGGACAGGGUCCUGACCCCCUUCCAGGCCCCCUUACUGACCAGCCCCUGAGAGCAGGGCUACACUUCUGUCUGGUGACCUCUGCUAGUGUUAAGGGGCCCACUCUUUGCUCCAUCUCUCUUGGCCCAGAGCCAGGGGUGGGCUGUGGAAAGACACAAGGGUGGAUAAGUCUGAAUGGACCCCCCCUCCAAUGGUCACACCCCCCCCAGCCCCAAUUCAGUUAAAGAUUGCAGGAAGUGGUUUGUCCGUUUAGAAGUCUUCACAGCUCUGAGGCCCUUCUGAGAAAUUAACUUGCAGUUCUCUAAAGAUAGAUUGCGCAAAAUGGGAGGGGGCAGCCCCCAAGGACCCUCCAACAGCAAUUCUCCUGAGGACUUCCAGAGACCUCU